AGGCUAUUUAAAACAAACAAACAAACUGUGAUACGUGCUACCCACCAGAAUGCCUUAAAGUAAAAAGAAAGUUCCAAGUGUUGGCAAGACUGAGCAGCACCAAGAAGUCCCCCACGCUGCUGAUGGGACUGUAAGCUGGUAUGCCCACUUUCUAAAACUGCCUGGCAGGACCCACUAAGGCUACAUAUUUGUGUUCGCUACGGUUUUGCACUUCUGAGUAUAUACCCAACAGAAACAGGUCCAGGAGCUCACCGAAAGAUGCAUACGGAGCCGCGCUAUUCAUACCAUUCCAGACUGGGUCUUAGCAAAAUGCCCGUCAAUUAAAAAACAACAACCGCUAAGUCGAUUGUGGUAUGUUCCCAGACUGAGAUAUUGCACAGCCGCGCAAAGAAAGAAACCUAGAGUAUGUGCAGCAACAAAGGUAACACGGAGGGAAAGAAAGGACACACAGAAGAAGGCACGUCGUGUGAUUCUACUUGUAAACAGUUCCAAGUAAUCCGUGCCAAUAAAAGCCAGGAGAAGGGCAAAAGGUGGGGGUAGACGUGAAACAGCUUUUCUGGGGCCGGUGAUAAUCUGCUCGGGGCAGGGUUCCGGGCACGUGGGCGUGUUCCGUCUGUGAAAAUUCACUGAGCUGUAUACUUGGCAUUUGUGCCUUUUUCUGUGCGGAGGUAGGUCACGGCAGUUUUUACAAAAGCAACUGAUGAUUUCGCUGGGGAAAGAAUAUAGAACGAACCAGCCUAGUGGGGUUACCCAACUAGACAGCCUCGGUCCGAAUCCCACGGUUACCGCCUAUACGCUGCCUGACCCCAGGCUCCCGGGCACCGGUCCAGAGGCUUGACAACGAGCCACAUUUGGGACUGCCAGAAACUGCCACAAAAGAGUCCGCCCAGAGGGCCUGUGGGAAUCGCUGGGGAGGAGAGCGCGAUUCAGUCAGGAGCCGCACCAGGCGCCACGCCAGGCCAGGCCAGAGGCCCCUGACGCUACCUGCCGGCUGGGGCAGGCCCUGGGCCCUCGCUUUUCCUACAGCUCCCUGCCGGAACCUUCCCUCCCAUCGCGGGGCUCCUCCAAACACGGCCAGCUGGGCCGGGGCUGCCUUCACAGGCCGGAGAGGGGAAGUAACAGACCCGAGAGCAGGAGCGUCCUACCUUCCAGAAUGGAGCCCGUGCACACCGCGGCACCCUCUCUCCGCCGAGUCUGUUCUCCCCUGAACACCCCUGGCGGACGAGGAACCCCCCCCUUACAGGCCUCCUCCAGAGUCCCCACAAUCAGGUGUCCGUGGCAGGCUGCGACCCACUCCCCCCCUCCUCCACUUUCGGAGCAGCCGGGGGCCCCAGGCAAAGCACACCUUCCCUCUCAUCGAGUCCUCUGCUCCAGUGAGCUGAGCUCACCCUCUAAAGCCUGCGCCGCAACAAAACCAACCCAAAGGACAUCCAUUUUUAUCCCCCAUUAGAAGUGAAUCUAACUCGGCAACCCCUCCCCCACCCCCCCCCCACCCCGCCCGGAGUAGCCCCACUGACUUUUAACUAGCUUCCUGCCUGUCUUCUUUGUCGCUCCUUCGCUAGCUCUUUUCCACACGCUCGCCGAAGAACAGAUGGAAGAGUGUCGCGUGCCCUGAGCCACGGGUGGCAGACCGGCUAGCUCGACGCGAAGCCAUAUCCUUCCAUGUCUUGGGCACACAGAUUUCCCAGCCUCCUUUGCACGCUUGUGGGGUCAUGUGGCAGCGCCGGCCAGACUAUGGAGGUGCCCAUCAAACUUGCCACGCUAUUCUCCAUGCUCUAUGGUUUUGGUUUUUUUGGUUUUUGGGUGUGUGUGUGUGUGUGUGUGUGUGUGUGUGUGUGCGCGUGCGCGUGCGUGCGCGUGCGUGUGUGUGUGUGUGUGUUUUGGCCUCAUCUGCCGGAAGGAGUUUGCGUUUCUGAACGCCUGCAGAACACAGGUCCCCUCCUCUUGGAAUGUGACAUGAGCAAGAAAUAAACUUAAUUUGUGUGAAGGCCUGAGACUUGGGGCGGUUGAUACAGCAGUUAGCCUGCCCUGAUGCACAUGCCAAGUUCCAGUCUCUCAAACUUCUUUCUACAAGCCUGGACAACGCCAGCCCUCUCUCUCACUGGUUCCCCAUGGAAAACAUCUUUGACCUGUCUGCGUGUAGACCACACCUGAAGUAUUUGCAUCCACGUCCCAUAUUCUGACCCUCAACCUCCAACCUUGGUUCAUGUUUCAACUUUUAAAUCGACUUCCUGCCUGUUGGUAAAAACGUACUGGUUGGAAGUGAACUGAAACUCUCAGAGAUGGCACCCGAUUUUCUCUUAACUGAGUCUUCAGGUCAUAUGCUCUGUGUGUCCAUGGGGCACGUUGAGGGUAUCUGAAUUAAUGACAAGAAACAGGCAGCUUUGUGGUAAACAGAGGCUGACAGACCUAUGGACCGAGAAACGGAGUUGAUUUAUUAUAUUUGACUUUCUGAGAUUCAGGGCUGCCAGAUUUCAAUACAUAGUGGUGAGUAUAACAGAUCGCCAGUGUUUUUUGUUGUUGGUGGUGCAUUUUUGUUUUGUUUUGUUUUGUUUUUUUUGUUUUUUGCUUUUUUUGAGUGGGUGAGUAGGUGAGUAAAUUAUCUGUAAUUUAAGCCCGGCUCAGAGCUCUGAACAUCCUUCAGUCAAUUCUUACUUGGCAGGAAAUUGGAGCUCUUACUGCUACAUAAAAUUCACUUUGCCAUUAUUAAAGAACCAACACAAGUAACCGUUUGACUCAAGUUAACAUUCACUCCUUGGAAUAGAUGAUGAGUAAAUAUUUACCCACUGGCAUAGCUGUUGAGUAAUUGCCCAUUAAGAAAGUUAAAUGUUAAUCACUUAUUUCUGGAUCGAAUAAUUUCAACAUGAUCCUAUGACUAAUCCUUAAUGUGUAAGGCAAGAAAAAAAAAGCUCACAUCCGUUCAUUUCUUUCGAUCUUGACCAUAAAGAAAAGCCUACUCUUAGGAAUGUCUCAAAUUAGACACAUAACCAGGUUUCACUCCCUUAGCACUCAAAGCCAGCUUGAUGGCUUUUUCAUUGUUCUUCACCCAAAGAAACCUUGACCUCAGGUUAAGUAUUAACAGGACUGGAGAAGGAAGUGUCGGAUGGGAGUUUAGCGGGAAGGGGGGACAUGUGAACUAAGACGACAACUAAAACUUGGGAACAGAGGACAGAAAAUAUAACCUAGACGUCAUGAUGUUGGCUGUCCUACAUCAAAGGGAGCUGUUGCGUGAUAAUUGCCAUUAAAGUAAAAACCUUAGGCUACACUUUACCAAGAAUGUUAAGUUUUGACUGAGUCAGAGGGGGACCCCAGCAGUAGACGGCCAACAAAGAAUGAGUGGGGAAAGUCUCUAGACUGGCAAGCCCAUGGGAAGGAUCCCUGCUUGGUGUCCCCUCUCCUUCAAAGAAGGAGACUUCUUUCAGUUGGACUAUCUCCACUCAUCAAGUCAGUCUGCAUCCGGAUGGGAAGGGCAGUGGCCAAAAUCCAGGCAGAAAUUUUGCAUACAUGCCACGCCAGCAGGGGCCUAGAUGGUAGUUUGGUGGGGACAGUGGAUACUGUUGAUGCCCUACCCACGGCCUCUUAACUGGGCGGGGAUCCCCUCCCCCAGAUGCUAUAGUAUUGGCUAUUAACAGCACCCAACAGUCGCUCCUUCUCUGGAGAGAUGCCCUGGGUCAGUGGGAAUUACCUAGCCCAGAAGGUUAGGCUCCCUUCCCCAAGGGCAGCCCCAUAGCGAAUAACUGACUGAUUCAGUGAUACAGAAGGCCGGUCCCCUAGCUUCAAGGUGGGAUCAACUCUGGUGCAAUUCCUGCUCCUGUGUGAGAUGAGUUGAAAGCGAGUGUCUAGCUGAGACCACAGACAGACUUAGGUCUUUCCCCCUUGCCCUGGCCUGCUUCCCUGACUCCCCUUUUCCUGAGAGCACUCCCUCAAUGAAGCAUGUGCACAGGAAUCGACGUCUCGGUUUCUUCUCCUGUUCUUUUUCUGAACCUGAGCAAAGACGGUAGGACAGGCAAAACAUUUGGUCUCCUUUCACUGUCUCCAGUGAAUUUUUUAGCAGAAGUUGCCCUGUGGACAGGUGGGGUGGAUUGAUCCCAGGGAUGCCCCAAGCAGAACGGAGACAGAACAACCUGCCUCACUCCUUCUUACCCGUGACUGAGUUCCCUUUGGAGGAGAAGCCUGGGAUUGCAGGAGUGCCUGCUACUUCUUUCCUCCCUCCAUGGAUCCACACCCUCCCCUCAUCUGCCACCCACCCUCCAAUGUAUAUCCAAGUGAAAACUCCCUUUUGCCAUCAGAUUUUCUUCUGAGUAGUGACCCUUGCCUCUCAGAAAUGUAUUGGGUUAGUGACUCUCUUCCUCACUUCUACACUGGUAUGAACAGUUUGUGCGAUAGGUAUGCCUGCAUUGCAUGACAUACAGGAAAGAACUUGACUAUAAAUGGUACGUGAACUUGGGCAAGUUCUUCAACCUUUCUGAUCGUGGAUUUCUCCAUCUGUAAAAUGGUAUUAACAAGGCCUACCUCACAGAGUGUUGUGAGGAUUAAAUGAUAUAAAAACUAGAUGCUCAUUGGUAUACAACAGGUGCUCACUGGUAGACUAUCUGGGAUACAGUAGGUUAUUAGUGGGAAUUUUCUUAAAAGAUCAACAAGAUGCUUAAAAAGACUAAAAAGCAAAACCCUACUGUUGGAACACAGAGAUACAUAAGCAUCCCACCUCAGGUCAGUUUCUGUCAUCCAUCCACCCACCCACCCACCCUUCAUCCACCCUUCCUCCCAUCCAUCCAUCAAAAAAACCCCUCAGUCCUCCUUGUGAGCCGUGUAUUGGGGAUACAGAAGCAAAUCAGACUCCAUGGGAGAAGCUCACUGUGAAUUGCCGGUGAAAGAUACAGGCCACUCUCACUGGGAAUUGAGGAACACUGGGAUAGAGGAGGACCAGGAGACUUGGGGGUGAGUUGUACACUGAGGAGUGAUUUGUUUUAGAAGUCCUUCCUGUAUAAAGGAUCCUUGCACUCCCACACCCAAUGAAACUAGGUAUCCCUUGGGAUUUGAUGGGACGUUCUCUUCCAUUAGGUUGCUGCUGCUGCUGCUGCCUGGAAGAGGCCCCCAAAUCAAGUUCCGAAAAAUUGGGACUUCUGGGCUGGCCCUCUUCAUGUGGCCUGGGAGCUCCUGUUUGCCCGAGGACCAAAGGAAUGACUGCUCCCGAACAUGUUCCCUCCCAGUGAGCCUACUGGUAUUCUUAAUCCCAGUGAGCCAUUGGGAUUCUUAAUCCACUUAGGAUAUUAAUAAAUAGUAAACUAAUAAUAUAAAAAAAAAGCGGGAACUACUUUGAGGAAAUGUCUACCAAGGGCAGGUAGAGUUCUAGGUGCUUGACACAUAUUCGUUUCUCAUGGCCCCGACAACUCUGGAAGGUGGGUCUUAUAUCCUUCUUUCAGAGCUGAGGAAACAGAAGGUCAAAGACACCCAAGGUUACAAAUGGAGUAAGAGAUGUGAUUUAAACCCGUGUCCUACUUCAAGGUCCGUGCUCAUUAUAACCUUUGUGUUUUAAUAAGCAUAGUCUUGUAUUAACUAUGUUGUUUUUUUUCCAUUUAUUUGUUUAAUGACCUUGGCCAAGUUUAAGAAUUUCCUUAUUUUUUUUUUUGAAGAGAGGAAUUAAGGUUCUAAUGGAGCAUUUCUAAAUAACCCCUAAAGUAGAUAGGGCUUUACAAUGAAACUCUACACACUCAUCACACAUACUCAACAACCAUCUAAGGCCCAUCUGCCCCAUUUACACCCCUAUCCAUUUUCUUCCUCCUAGGUUGGCCAUGCCAAAAAUCAAACCCUAUAGCUCUGGCUCCAAACCCCUCACCAUGCUGGUCUUUAUUUCUUUUCCUAGCACAGCACAUCCCAAGGCCCACUUAAAAAUUUUUUUUAAUGUUUGCUUAUUUUUGAGAGAGUGACAGAGACAGACAGAGAAUGAGUGGGGGAGGGGCAGAGAGAGAGGGAGACACAGAAUCCAAAGCAGGCUCCAGGUGCCGAGCUGUCAGCACAGAGCCCGACGCGGGGUCGAACCAUGAACUAUAUAAAAAUAUGACCUGAGCAUGAAAUUGGGCGUUUAACCAACUGAGCCACCGAAGCGCCAACCCCCCAACAAGGCCCACUUUAAACGAUUUCUUAUGUGUAUUUCUCUCUUUUCUUAAAAAUUCACUGUCAAAACGAAUAAAAGGAUAGAAUAUUCAAACUGACUGCAGAGAGCAUUUCAGAGCUUAUCCUCAUAUUACCAAUUGUGCAGCAAAGUUCUAAGGUACCAUCACUAUGCUACCCUGGUGAUUAUUGAGACGAUGUUAGAGUGCAAUAAAAUUGAAAGCGCUUUUGCUCUAGCAGAAAUAAAUAUAUAACCAAAUAAAUGGCUCGCCAAUUGGGGAGUACAAGUUGUUCCUUUUCUUCCCCUUAAUUACCUCUCAGUGGAACAUUCUAGAAUGCCCAGGGGGUAAAUUUCCACUAAUCUUCAGGCCUCUCUAAAAGCCAGUGCCAAUACAGAAGUUAAAUAUAGAACAAUAUCCUAUAAACAAAGUCCUGAGUCUAAGGACCCAAAUGAUUCAGACAUUAUUUUCAUUCAUGGCUUACAAAGAAAGUAACAUGAAUUGUGUCAAUGGUCCCAACACCUCUAGAGAGUAUUAUGUUGGAAUACAAAAGACACAGAAGAUUAUCUUCAAGGAAUUUAUAAUACAGCAGAGGGUAUGGAAUAUGCCCAAAUCAAAUGAUAGAGAUAUAAUAGGAAUACAGUGACAGUUGCAUAGACUAAUGAUCAUACAUAGCUACACACACACACACACACACACACACACACACACACACACGCAGUGUGGUGCCAACACAGAAAAAUACAAGACUACCCAGGAACAAUGAGAAUCUGAAGCGUUAGUGUUGGUUUCAAGUCAGCCACCUGAGGGAUGAAGGCAGCCUGAGGGAAAUAGGGGAGGCUGCUGGACGCAAUUCUCAAGGUUGGAAUGGGUUCCAUUCUUAGAUCAGCCAGUAAUGAAUCAUUUCUCUAAGCCACUUGGCUUUGCUGGAGCUCAGUCUCUUUGUUUCUAAGGCUCCUUCCAGCUGUAACAUUCUAUGAUGCCAUGAAGACCAGACCCGCUUAGAAAACAACCCACAAGGACACUUUCCCACAGUAUGGGCUUGUGAGACAAGCCACGUGAUCAAGGCUCACACAAUAGCUGCUAUGGCUCACAAUUUAAUAAACAGUUAUUACAAAACCAAGCAGGACCGAGUGCCUUUGACACGGGCGUGAAGGCAGAGCGGGUACCCACCCCAGCUGGUAGACACGGAAGAUUCCUCCUUUGUUAGAGAUACUAUGGGAGUAGUGCUGACCGAUGUUUUCCUACCUGUUACGGGGUCUUCGACUUUCAUCUGCAAGUAUGCAGCAGUGUCUGAACAUUCUGGUUUGGCUAGUAGAACUUGGACUUGGUUCUGAAGUACAAACAUUGCUGCGUUGACACCUCUUGGCCACCAGAGAGCUCUAUGCAUCCAGCCAGAGGCACCUACUAGAUCAGCAAGCAGGCGUUCAUAAAAAGCAGGCUUGCCCUGCAGUCCCUGCGGCAUGGAGGACGGGUUCUAUUGUGAUUUCUGAUACCUGCAAAAUGUACUCAUCUGCCCCAUCACCAGCACCUCUGGCUUUGCCCCUCUGCCUUUUGCAACAUGGCACUUGGUGCAUUCAGGAGGCAGAGGUGGUCAACGUGGGUACCAGUUCUCCACACCGGUCGAAUGAAUUCCUAGCUGUGGGGCAAGAGAAGCCAGGGCCUUCAGACUUACUGGUUUUAUUGGUGGCUGCCAGCACUGGGGGCCAUGUGUAACGCAGCACUCAGGACAACGUCUUGUUGUGGGCUUUCUGUGGUGGUAGCUUUCUUUUUCUGCUCAUAAAAAUAACAUAUGCCAAACAUGGAAAAGGCGGAAAACACAAACUAGUAUAAAGAAGAAAAUGGCAACAAUCCAUCAUUCCAUGAACCAGAGAAAAUAACUGAAUAGAUGAUUUGGACAUAUUUCCUUCCAACCUUCUUUUUCUUGUGGGAUGUGUGAGUAUUCUUACAAGUUGAUUGGAGUUGAUGCAUCCGGAUUUUUUUGGGUAAUCUUUCUAACCUGAUAUUUUCUCUUAAUUUUGGAAGUGUUUUUCCGUAUCAUUACAGGUACAAUGCAAGAUAACCUGUAGAAUUCAGAGCAGCACCGAAGAAGAUAAACCACCCUCCCCCCCCCCCCCCCCCGUGUUUCCAGUACCCAGAGAUAAUCAUUUUCACAUUUUGGUGUUUUACCUUCCAGUGACUUUUCUAAGCAUGAUAGUUAUUUACUUUUACAAAACUGGGACCAUGUUGUACAUACUGUUUCGUAGGCUGCUUUUUUCACAUAAAUAUUCUAUCGUGAUCAUUUUCCCUACAUCAUCAAAUAUCCUCCCCAAACCGGAUUCUUAAUAUCUGGGUAAUAUUAAAAUAUCUGAGUCAAGCUUAAUUCGCUUAAUGACUUGUCUACUGUUGGUUAUUUGUGCUGAUCCCAAUACCUUUUACUCCAAUACCAUCAUGAUGAAAUAACUUUAUACUAAUUAUACCCCAUGUUCACAUCAUCAAUUAUCUACCCAGCAUAGAUUCUUAGACUUUGAGUUGCUGGGUCAAAGGGCUUGAACAUUUCUAAAAGACACACUCCAAUGGCCACACUGUCCUUCAGAAAUGUCAUUAUCAGUUCAUAGUCUCAUCAGCACUACCUGAAAGUCUCUGUGCCAUCCACACUGCCCACACCGGGGAUUACUGAUUUUAAAAGUCCAGGUCCAUUUAAUACACACACACACACACACACACACACACACACACACACACACAGUUAUGCCUCACUGAACAUUUAAAACUUUGUGUAUUGGCCACUUUUAUCUCUUCAUUUGUGAGUUACCGAGAACCUGAUAAGUAUCUACCACUGUGCUGCACAUUAAUGACAAUUAUCGCUGUCUUCCAAAGAGCCGUGCAGAUAAAUGCCAUUACUUCCCUUUUACAGAUGAGGAUGCUGAGCUACAGAGAGCUUAAGUGUCUUCCGGAAGACACACAGCAAGUGAAUGACGAAGUAAGGCUUCAAGUUCAGAUCCGUGAUCCCCAGUCUCAUGCUCUGCUGAGGACGCCACAUUGCCUCUCUGAGAAAUGUUUCAAAAUGUGCUUCUAUCGAGGAGAGAAGAUUAAAGAAUUCCUGUGCUAUCUGUGUAAGAAAUGUCUACUUGAACCGCUGUAAAGGAGAGACGGGAUGAGUGAGAAAACCUUGCAGACCUUUUUACAGCUGUGCAAUCCAACUGCGUCCUUUACACAGAUGAGGACUCUAGGACCCCGAGGAGUUAAGUGACUUGCUAGCUAUGGGUUUGACCAAAAGAUGGGGUAAAGAGGCCAAGAAAAUACAAACAGCACAAAACCCUGACAAGCUCUCUCAUGCCACUCUGUCUUUACGCACCGGGUUUCCUGUUUGGAUUUCAUCCCUCAUCCGCCUGGUGACUCAGCUAAAAUGUCAGGUCCUCUACAAAACCUCCCAUCAUUUUUCAAGGCAGAAUUAACUGUCUCUGUACUCUGUGAGUAUCUGUACCUACUGCAUUAUGAGCACUUUCUGCAUUGUGUGGCAGAGAUGUCUAAUUGCCCUGCACAUUUUUUAAUCCCUUCCCUUCCACAGGGAUCGUAGGGACGGGGCUGAUGAUGGAAAGUGGCUGUCUAGACAGCGUGGCUUUCCAGCACCCCAGCCUCGCGUCUCGGUGUGGCCGUGUGACUUGUUUUGGUGAAUGGCAGGUGAGUGGGGCACGGCCUUCUACUGCCCCUGCCUUGCUUCCUACUUGUGAACUCUGUUGUUUGAGAAUGUGAUAGUUGGAACAAGAACAUCACAAGCCUAAGGACAAAAAGCCAACACGAUGAGGACGGCAGAGCAAAAGUGUGGGAGGAAGCUGGUGUGAACAACAUUGUCCAGCUACUAAAUCAACCCUAGAACCGCCUACCUUCAGACAUUAGAUCUUGUGAGAUAAUUAAAUAUCUUUAUCACG